AUACGGAAGGUCCGGGCGUUAUCCGGAUUUAUUGGGUUUAAAGGGAGCGCAGGCGGAGAUGCAAGCGUGACGUCAAAUUUCGGGGCUCAACCCCGUCUCGCGUCGUGAACUGCGUCCCUUGGUUGCGGGAAGGGGAGGCGGAACUCGUGGUGUAGCGGUGAAAUACAUAGAUAUCACGAAGAACUCCGAUCGCGAAGGCAGCCUUCCGGCCCGUCAACGACGCUCAUGCUCGAAGGUGCGGGUAUCAAACAGGAUUAGAUACCCUGGUAGUCCGCACAGUAAACGAUGGACACCCGCGGUUUGGCCUGUAUGGCUGAGCCGCCAAGCGAAAGCGUUAAGUGUCCCACCUGGGGAGUACGCCGGCAACGGUGAAACUCAAAUGAAUUGACGGGG
rnacentral:rRNA from 1 species